UGGCUCAGAUUGAACGCUGGCGGCAGGCCUAACACAUGCAAGUCGAGCGGCAGCGGAAGGAACCUUGCUUCCUUGCCGGCGAGCGGCGGACGGGUGAGUAAUGUCUGGGGAUCUGCCCGAUGGAGGGGGAUAACUACUGGAAACGGUAGCUAAUACCGCAUAACGUCGCAAGACCAAAGUGGGGGACCUUCGGGCCUCACACCAUCGGAUGAACCCAGAUGGGAUUAGCUAGUAGGCGGGGUAAAGGCCCACCUAGGCGACGAUCUCUAGCUGGUCUGAGAGGAUGACCAGCCACACUGGAACUGAGACACGGUCCAGACUCCUACGGGAGGCAGCAGUGGGGAAUAUUGCACAAUGGGGGAAACCCUGAUGCAGCCAUGCUCUCGCGUGUAUGAAGAAGGCCUUCGGGUUGUAAAGUACUUUCAGCGGGGAGGAAGGCAGUGAACUUAAUACGUUCGCUGAUUGACGUUACCCGCAGAAGAAGCACCGGCUAACUCCGUGCCAGCAGCCGCGGUAAUACGGAGGGUGCAAGCGUUAAUCGGAAUGACUGGGCGUAAAGCGCACGCAGGCGGUUUGUUAAGUCAGAUGUGAAAUCCCCGAGCUUAACUUGGGAACUGCAUUUGAAACUGGCAAGCUAGAGUCUUGUAGAGGGGGGUAGAAUUCCAGGUGUAGCGGUGAAAUGCGUAGAGAUCUGGAGGAAUACCGGUGGCGAAGGCGGCCCCCUGGACAAAGACUGACGCUCAGGUGCCAAAGCGUGGGGAGCAAACAGGAUUAAAUACCCUGGUACUCCACGCUGUAAACAAUGUCAA
rnacentral:rRNA from 1 species